rnacentral:lncRNA from 1 species
CCCUCAGGUCCUCUUACCUGUUUUCUCCCUUCCCAUCCCACAGGUGGAACCUGUCUUACCCCACACAGGGCCAGCAGAGGAUGAGGAAGAGGAGGAAGACCAGUGGGAAGAUGUCAGUGGGGGGGAGGAAGAGGAAGAGGAGGAGGAAGCAGCAGUGGCUGGAGGCAGCGACAGGAGUGAGGGCUCCUCUACAAGGAGCAGGACCGGCAGUGAGGAGCAGGACCCGGGGCGGAAUGGGCACCUGUCCUCGGCCAUGCCUCCCUCCCAGGGCGAGGCGCCAAGCCCAGAAGGGAACCCCGUGGCUCCCUCCUCACCGGCCGAGGGGUACCCGCGUGUCUCAGACUGGGGAGAGGAGAUGGAGCUGAGCUCCCCGAGGGCAGAGGCUGCCCAGAGCCGCUUUCCUUUGAUCGCGCAGGAGGAGCCUUCAACAAGGGCUGGGAGGAGCCUUCCAGACUCUCUGGCCAAUCAAGGGUCCCCACUGGCGGCCUCGGCUGACGGGGAGGUGCCCCCUGCCCCCAGCGCCCCAGCGCCCGAGGCCGGCCAGGAGCUAGCAGCAGCGCAGGCCACAGAGAAGGACCUGCAAGAGCUCGGAACCGCAGUGGAGCCAGUGUCGGGACCCGUCCCCAGCCCGGAGGAAAUCGCCGACGUCCAACGGGAGCACCUGGAAGCCUGACGCAGAGAGAGCAGUCUCCUGGCA